rnacentral:tRNA from 1 species
GCCUGGCUGGCUCAGUAGGUAGAGCAUGUGACUCUUGAUCUCGGGGUUGUGAGUUCAAGCCUCACAUUGGGUG